CAGCAGCCGCGGGAAUACGUAGGGUGCAAGCGUUAAUCGGAAUUACUGGGCGUAAAGCGUGCGUAGGCGGUUAUAUAAGUCAGAUGUGAAAUCCCCGGGCUCAACCUGGGAACUGCAUUUGAGACUGUAUGGCUAGAGUGUGUCAGGGGGGGGUAGAAUUCCACGUGUAGCAGUGAAAUGCGUAGAUAUGUGGAGGAAUACCGAUGGCGAAGGCAGCCCCCUGGGAUAACACUGACGCUCAUGCACGAAAGCGUGGGGAGCAAACAGGAUUAGAUACCCCGGUAGUCCCUGUCUCUUAUAA
rnacentral:rRNA from 1 species